GUUCCUGCUAUGAAGGAGAGUAGUAGCUGCUGGAGUUUCUCCAGAGAGCCGGGGUAGCUGGAAACCGGUGAAAUGAAGGCAGUGAAGGCGCUCCUGAGCUGCAGGAGGAAAGCCCCAUUUUGGGGUGAGUAAAGCCUGCUUAGAUGAGAGGGUCAGUGUUUUUUGCUGGCCAAACAGGGUGGAACCGCGGGAAGCUCCCGUCCCUGUA
rnacentral:ncRNA from 1 species